rnacentral:rRNA from 1 species
GUGGGGAAUAUUGGGCAAUGGGGGCAACCCUGACCCAGCAACGCCGCGUGAGGGAAGAAGGUUUUCGGAUUGUAAACCUCUGUCCUAUGGGAAGAAGGAAGUGACGGUACCAUAGGAGGAAGCCCCGGCUAACUACGUGCCAGCAGCCGCGGUAAUACGUAGGGGGCGCGCGUUGUCCGGAAUUACUGGGCGUAAUGGGUGCGCAGGUGGCCUGACAAGUCAGAUGUGAAAUACCGAUGCUUAACGUCGGGGCUGCAUUUGAAACUAUGAGGCUGGAGUGCAGGAGAGGGAAGCGUAAUUCCUAGUGUAGCGGUGAAAUGCAUAGAUGUUAGGAGGAACACCAGUGGCGAAGGCGGCUUUCUGGACUGUAACUGACACUGAGGCACGAAAGCGUGGGGAGCAAACAGGAUUAGAUACCCUGGUAGUCC